UACGUAGGGCGCAAGCGUUAUCCGGAAUUAUUGGGCGUAAAGAGCUCGUAGGCGGUUUGUCGCGUCUGCCGUGAAAGUCCGGGGCUCAACUCCGGAUCUGCGGUGGGUACGGGCAGACUAGAGUGAUGUAGGGGAGACUGGAAUUCCUGGUGUAGCGGUGAAAUGCGCAGAUAUCAGGAGGAACACCGAUGCGAAGGCAGGUCUCUGGGCAUUAACUGACGCUGAGACGCGAAAGCGUGGGGAGCAAACAGG
rnacentral:rRNA from 1 species